UGCCAGACUCCUACGGGAGGCAGCAGUGGGGAAUAUUGGACAAUGGGGGGAACCCUGAUCCAGCGACGCCGCGUGAGUGAAGAAGUAUUUCGGUAUGUAAAGCUCUAUCAGCAGGGAAGAAAGAAAUGACGGUACCUGACUAAGAAGCCCCGGCUAACUACGUGCCAGCAGCCGCGGUAAUACGUAGGGGGCAAGCGUUAUCCGGAUUUACUGGGUGUAAAGGGAGCGUAGACGGCGAUGCAAGUCUGAAGUGAAAGGCGGGGGCCCAACCCCCGGACUGCUCGUGGAACUGCGCGGCUGGAGUGCAGGAGGGGCAGGCGGAAUUCCUGGUGUAGCGGUGAAAUGCGUAGAUAUCAGGAGGAACACCGGUGGCGAAGGCGGCCUGCUGGACUGCGACUGACGUUGAGGCCCGAAAGCGUGGGGAGCAAACAGGAUUAGAUACCCGAGUA
rnacentral:rRNA from 1 species